rnacentral:lncRNA from 1 species
UUGUUUUUCUGUAUAAUUGUUUAUAUUAGGUUCACCUUCACUCUGGAUCAUAUUUGUUUCUCCCAUCAGUCGUUAUUCACCUGUUGACCCAAUCGGUUCAACCAACAAUAAUUUUUGUUAGACAUGUGGAACGUAGUCAUAAAGAGCCUACCUCCAUUUCUUGGACACUUUGCAAAUUAAUUUUACUGCUAAAAAGACCUUCUUUAAAAACCUUUUAACACAAUGACAUAUUGACUGUGAAGAAACAUAGUUCUUUAAGCUUUUUAAUUAGUGACUUCCAACUAUUAACUCCUACAUGUAAAAUAACUAGAAGAUUGACACUGACUACCGUCACUCAAAGAACAUUGUCUCCACCAAUUGUAAAUUGUGAAUUCGACUACAUCUUAGUCCACUUACUUAUAAAAAAAGGGUUUGGGUGGUGCACCGAGUACUCUGCACGUUCUCUGGAUACAUCUCAACUUCAACCUGAUAGAAGGACCAAAUUUUUUCAAGUGUCUACAAGCAUCACAUUUGCCGCAGUUUUCUGAGCGUAGACAGCCCGAGCAUUCGCCACAACGUUUUGAAGAUUUCUUCACAAUAGUAGGAUCCCAAGGAGCGUCGUAUUCGUAUCGAAUAGCCCUUUCUUUCUCUUUAUACUUCUUGUAUUUAUGAUCAUCUUGUUCAGAUCUACGGGGUUUAUAACGUGUUAUAAGUGUCGAGUCCUCUUCCCGGCAGCGCUGGAAUAGAAAUGAAAUGACAAGAUUUGUUUUUAAUUACAGAGAAGAAUAAGAUCAAGUAUAUAUUCACUUAAAAUUUCUAAUUUAAUUUUUGUUUUGUGAAAUGAUCUGUUUUUUUUGUAUUAAACUGCUCACUGCCUCAAUAUGCUGUCUAAAAAAAGAUUGAAUAUCUCAAUCUUUACACAACAUAUUCUCUGAGAAAUAUUCAUAUUAUACUUACAACACAGAAAAACUGCUUGAUAUGUUUCGCUUCUUUUUCUGUAAUAUUGAUACAAUCACCAUGGUACCAUUCCUCGCAAGCGUCACAUCCACUAUAAUUAAUUGUAUAAUCUUGGUUACAAAAUGUCUAAUAAAAAGUGACAUGAUUAAGAAUUAUUCUAUUCGUGGCAGUGACAUCUGCUAGAUAAGUUGAUCCAUUAAAAAUAGUUCGGUUUGCUGCUGUAGGGAUGAAAUAGUAAAAUGUAUCAAAAUCGUUAAGUGCAAAUCUAUCAUUUAAAGGAAAUCUACUUCUCAUAAUCCGUGAUUUAAGCAGUAACUGAUUCAGAAAUUUGAAUUCGGGUACUUUAGAUGUUAACUAUAGAUGUUUUGAAGGGACAAGAAAUAAUUGAAGACAAUUGAGGUCACUCACAGUGACUACAUUAUCGGCAACUUACAUCUCGUUAUUAAUGUACUCAAAGAAUAAGAAUUAAAACUCACAUCAUGAAACGCGAGCUAUCCGAGCUACGACAAAUGCAAUAAGCUUGACCAUCUUGCUUUAGUAACGUUGCAAUUUUACUCUUCCUUUCUGGUAACAUAAAUUGCUUUGCAAUCUCUUCUUUCUGUAUAAAACAAAACAUUUGUACAGAUAUAUAUAUAUAUAUAUAUGAGUACAGUAAUUCAUGAUGGUCAAUGUCAGUGGUGUGUCCAUUUUUUAAAUGAUUACAGAGAAUACUAAAGCACAUAAAACCGUUUCAGGAUUGUUGGCUUCGUAAUUCAAAAUUGUAAUUUCUGUCUGAAGCGAACAAUCAGAAACAAAAGAUGAGCGUGAAACAUCCAUCAUUCUUUUUCAAGUAUUUUCAAGUAUCUGUCUAAUAGUAUAAUGUGCACUUACAUGAUGCUUACGUUGAAAGAUAAUUAAAUCAUAAAGUAACUAUUUAAAUUAUUUACACAAAAUACCUAAUAUAAUGACAGCCUUGAUAGUUCCACUGUGGAUACUACAUUCAAUAUCGGAGUUCAAAUUCAAUCAAUCUCAACUGGAUCAUUGAAAUGUUAUCACACAUAAUUUAGUAUCUCAGUAUUUGUUUUCUGAGCAUCUUGACAAUACACCGCUAACAAAAUAUUCGAAACAAUGUAAUAAACGAAUAUUCUUUGGAUUUUAAGUAAUGAAAUAAAGUUACAUAUGACAGUUGAAGACGCGUGGUUAUGUGAAAAAGGUAAAUGGUAAAAAAAUGUUAUCGCAUAUAUUUAGUGUGAUGUAUCGUCAGAGAGUUCUGAUAGUCCAAAACUCAAAGGUAAUAAUGCAGUACACGAACUGCAACUUUAUAUCGAAUAGUUAAAACACAGUACUAAAUUUCAGUGACAAAUAAAUAGUACGAGCUGGAAGCAGCGGAUAGUCUACUUACCGAAAGACCGUGUCUCUUAUCGCCCAUGAUUAGGCGUGUAUUCUGAUAACGAUUAUAGUCCAAUUACACUACAAUCCAAAGAUUCAACCUGCGUCUCUAAAGAGUCAGUUAUGAAAAGUAGAGACACAAUUAUUAUUCCAUCGUUUUCUCAGAGAUCGCCACUUUAUACAGCCGCAGCUGCCAUCUUGAAUUACCUCUACCAUACCCACAAUGCAGUGCGCGUACCAUGUACGCGCCCUUGCUUUUAAACGUAGUUUCGAAAGUGAACUCUGUUGUAACAGAGAAGAGUCCAACAAAUGAAUCGGUUGAUAAUUAAUAAGUAUAAGAUAAGCUCAGCGUUAUUACUAGGUUUUACCCUCAAGGGUUCACUUUUUUCUGAUUUAGAGUUCCGGUACUAAACCUAGAAUUAAAUGUGUAGGUCGAUAAUGUUGUAGCAUAGUCGGGUAAUUUGAAAUAAUCGUUGAAAGCAUAGAAACUGUAUAGUGUAAAUUAUUGAUUUACCCCAGAUCUUUUUGUACCUUUAUGCCAUGCAUGUAUUCAAUUUUUUCAAUAGGAGCUAGCUCCGGGUUUCAAUAGCGAAAUUCAAAAAAAGUCGCGUAUUUGAAUGUACCGCAAUUUUACUACAAUAACUUAAUCAUUUUAAUCAAGAAUCAUCGAAUUCCACAUUACUUACCACUUUUUUUUCUUUUAACCACAAUAAUGUGUACAAUUUAACUUGAAUUUGUGUAUGUAUGUGCAGAUAUUGCACAAAAGAUAUAUUAGUUUCAUUAUCGAAAUCAUGUAUAUGCUGCAAGUAAUUUUUUCAAUUGUUUCCUUUAUUGUCUCUAUUUUACAAAAACAAAGAAGCAAUACUAAAAUAUUGCUUGGCUGGGAAUAACAAGUUUUUUUGGUGGAAAUAUGCUAACUGCGUUUAUACUAUGUAUAUGUGUGUGUGGGUGUGGGGAUUAAAAAUAGUGUUAUCCUUCUGCAGUUAAUUUUUUGAAAAAAUAACCGUCUGCCAAUGCAUCACUUCAUCGGUGGUUUCAGUUAAAAUAUUCAGCGAAAACCCGAAAUCUGUACGCUUAUAUAUCAUUAUUCAUAAGUUAACAGCACAUCACAAAAUAAAAAGCUUUUUAUCGACGCAUAAAAAAUAAUGAAUAGCAAAUUAAUAACUUGAGCAAAUUAAGCCUUCUACAAGCUACUUAGUGGCAUCUGUUAAUAUUAUACGAUAUUAUACCGUGCCACCUAUCACCAUUUUGAUAAUAAAUUAUUAUUUUCGUAUUCUAAAAUUGAAAAGAUUUAGAUUGUGAACAGCAAUAUUAUUAGAGUUAAAUAUAUUUUUUGCGCAUCCAGGCUUAAUAUCACAUAGCUUUUAACAAAAGUUCUGAAUCCAGAUGAAAGGAUGAAUUAAAUUUGCAAAUGAAGACUGUUCUUUGAGCAGUGAACCGGUGAUCUACGUUUUCUUCUCGGUUGUCCUUCUUUUGUCUUGUUUUCAUACAUAUUAUAUUCUUUGGUAUUCGAUAAUUUCCUUUCCGUUGCACAUCGAUAUACUUUCCAGCAGAUAUAAACUAGAACAGUAUAAACGCAGUUCUUAUCGCAAUACAUUAUAUUUAUUCCAAAUCAUCACAAUUUUUACCUUUUUGCUACUUUAUCAUUACCACACAAUGAUGUUGAUCUCAAAUGUCAUAACAACUUAAAGUGAAUUAAAAAUGACAAAGAUUAUUUAAGAAAUAUCAUUUACUGAAUAUGUAAAGAAAUAAAAUUAUGCAUACAAAAGAAAAAGAAAAGGAAUGUAGAUUAUUUCGUAACAUCUCAAGUCAUGAACGAUGUUACAGGUUGGAGUUACGAAUAUUAAAAAUACUUGGGUGCUAUUAUUUGAGACAAUGCUAAAAAAAAACAAGAAAAAAAAGUUUCCCCCCUAGGUUCCAUUACUGUCAACAUCGAAAACAUACCUUCAGUUUUAUUUUCAUGUAUAUAACGAUUUACGAAUUAUGCAUUACAUUAACAUAUUUCCACUUGUGAUAUGCUGUUUUAGUAUUAUGACAAUUAUACUAUAGUUUUAGGUGCAAGUAGAUUAAAACAAAACGCGUGCCAAAAGAGAGAAAAAAAAAAUAAAGAACAACAAUAUAUCACAGUAUCCCAUAUUACCUUAAAUAAAACUUGUAUGUAUUGCGAUAGAAUAGCAUAAAGGUAAAACGGCGACUUAGUUCAGUUUUGUCUUCUUUUCAUAGUGUGUUCGCAUACAGGAGGACAUAUUUUCUUGCAGUAUUACAUUUUUCAUUUCUUGGUCAUAAUUUAUUAUUAUUAUUUUCCAGUUUCUUGUAUUCAUAUAAGCUUAUUUUGAAUCUGAGGUUACGAUAUAUUAAUAACAAAGUAAUGACGGUGAAGGCAUCAUAUAUUUUGUACACAUAUCAGCCAUUUGGUUGUCAAUUUUACAAAUUCUUAAUAAAUAUCUGUACGUGAAACGUUUUAAUUCAUACACGUUACCAAAGAGAGGCUUUCACUUUUUUGCGCAGUGAUUAAUCAGUUAAGCAACAGUCAUGGUUCACUAUCGAUUAACAUAAUGGUUUUAGUUUCGAGGAAAAAUUUAAUCAUAAAUAAUACAAGGAAUUGAUGCUGCUGGUUGAGAAAAUAUGGAUAAGUGCAAGGACGGCGAAAGCUUAAGUGAACAGGUAUGCGGGACAUACGUAAGAUAGAAUAUACAUGUAUAUAUACAUAUGCUGUAUCAACUCGACCAGGUUCUGACCUCAUAUUUUUGUGUUAUUCCGAAAUUUUUCUGGGUGUAGUAGGACAUGAGUAACAUGUGAAUUAAUUUUUUUUACAUUUUUCUGAGAAUGUAGAAAGUCGGGAAUAUCUGACAAAAAUACCAAAAAUGCUGCCCUUUUCACGAUUUUCGACAGUCAUUGUAUAUGCAGGAACGUGGCUCGUAGGGAAUUUUACAGAAAAUUGUUAAAAACUAAAAUUAGAUUUUAUAAAGGUCUUACAACCCCCACGAAAAAUUUCGAACUAAACAAAGAGAAUGGGAAGGUUUGAACGUGAUAAAAUUCUUUAAGACAGGUAGAUAAAUAACAAAAAAGAAAUUUUCCAAUUUAUUUAGCAGAAGCAUCCGCAAACUAUCAUUUGAAUAAUCACGUUUCGUCUUAAACAGUGUACUUCAAACCAAUUCUGCAUUCCCUCUAUCCACGUAGAGAUGUUUUUUUUUUUCAUUUAAUUCAUUUUCCUUUGGGGUUUAUUGAUGUCACCAAUAUUGUAAAAGGAAACAACUAGAUGGUGUGUAAAUAAUCGUAUUAGAAAACAUUGCCGUACGGGCCAAUGUUUGUUGCAAAUAGGUGAAAAACUUUACAACUAUUAAUUGAACAAAAAUUAACAUCUUGGACUAUAUAUUUAUGAACGAAACUUCAACCUUCAAGAUGAUGCUUUAGUGCGUGCCAUGUGAUUAGCGAUAAAUAUUUUAUGCAGGUUCGAUGACAUGGUUCAAUUUGUCCUAUUUUUUGUUGUCAGAUUUAAUGAUCAUCCUCGCUUGCCUUGUAUUGACAAAAUCUUUUAUACGAACCAAUAUCGCAUAGAGAAUGAUUUAUAUCACGUGGCGUAAGCUUUGGCAGCUUCGGUUCCUUAUUAAGUAGCCAACAUUAUAAAUAAAAUUUGUAUCAUAAGAUUGAGACUAUCCUCUGUUUGGUACUGAUAUAUUUAAAGGGGUUGACAAGCAAUCUUAACAAUUAGUCAAUUUAGUGUUUGGGUAGCAUGGAGCCUGCUCUUCCGCUAAUCAACUGAAUGCCCGCUCCGAAACUCUCGAGGCACAUAAGCUAACAUUUCGUUUAGUUUAAUAUGUGUGAAAUAAAUUGUUGACCCAUGUAGAUAUUGUACCAAGAAAACAGAAUGUUCUCUUUUCAGAACAUUGAGAAAAAAAAAAUUGACUUGAAAUGGCUGUUAGGUUUACUUGAUAUUUUUAGUAAACAUAAAUAUAUUAAAGUAGAAAAGUAAUACGUGACAGUUUUCCUAUUAUUAUGUUAAAUGUGGAGUACAGUUAAUGUAGUACCAUUGAUUAUAUAAAUUGAUAAUAUAUGAAGAAUCCUUCGGAGUAUGUUAAUUUUAAAAUAAGCUGCGAUAUAAAUUUUCAUCCGCGUCUAUGUCACGUAUUACUUUUCAUCAUACAUACGUACAUAGAUAUAUACAUAUAAGGGUGUGUCAUUUUAGGGCGAUAUAUUUUUUUUUUUUUGGCUUAUCACCCGAAAAGUCUUUAGUUCGCAUC